AGGCAGCAGCAGGGAAUCUUGGGCAAUGGGCGAAAGCCUGACCCAGCGACGUCGCGUGGGGGACGAAGGCCUUAGGGUUGUAAACCCCUUUUCUGAGGGAAGAUACAAGACGGUACCUCGGGAAUAAGCCCCGGCUAACUACGUGCCAGCAGCCGCGGUAAUACGUAGGGGGCAAGCGUUACCCGGAAUCACUGGGCGUAAAGUGCGCGUAGGCGGUUGGAUAAGUCUCUUGUGAAAGCUCCCGGCUCAACUGGGAGAGGUCAAGGGAUACUAUUUGACUAGAGGAUAGCAGAGGUAAGCAGAAUUCCCGGUGUAGCGGUGGAAUGCGUAGAUAUCGGGAGGAAUACCAGUGGCGAAAGCGGCUUACUGGGCUAUAUCUGACGCUGAGGCGCGAAAGCGUGGGGAGCAAACUGGAUUAGAUACCCAGGUAGUCCACGCCCUAAACGAAGGAUACUAGGUAUGGGGGGUAU
rnacentral:rRNA from 1 species